AAAGAAUCCGUCUCUUAGGUUCGUUGUAAGAAUUAAAUGAGACAAUGUGUACCAAAUUCUUAACAGAGUCUGGAAUAUAAUAAGUGUUCUGUAGACAGGGCCACAGCUAGCAUGCAGGGUGUCUUUGUGGUAAUUGGAAAAGGGUGUGCUCAUUUGGGUAGACACAUUAGAAAAAGAUGUCCCUUCCUCUGGGCUGGCUCAGGCUGGUGCCUGACUUGGGAAGCAGAGUUCCUCCCUCGGCUGGCCACCCUUUGGCUGGUCACAACCCACAAAACUGAAGGUGGAGGCCCUGUCCGUACAUGUUUGCUAUGGUAAGUACCAACAGUUCUUGCAGACGGACAACUGUGUGCGCUCUCACUGUGGAGGCCCCCUUGGAGGAGGUAGCUGACUCUCACUUCUCAGAACCACAGUGCUAGGCUCAGCAGAGUCUCAUCUUGAUAAACUUCUGUGAGAACAAAGGCAUGGGGACACACUGAAUUUUCCUUUUCUGAGCUUGAAACCAGCUGAUCAUGCUUCCUGUUUCUCUAAGGGCUUCCCUGACAUAGACGACUUGCUUCUUUCAAAUUUGGUCAUCGCCCUCUUGCCUUCCUGUGUGAGUCAGCGUGGCUGCCCUUGUGCACGCCAGGCUCCUGUCUGUGCUCCGGGGCCUGUUUCCUGGCCUCCCCAGGUAAUUCCCCUCGGCCAAGGGUGAGCGUCCCCGCCCACGUCCCCUCUGCCUGGAGACGUGCGUGCGCUGGGGACAUGAGUCACAGCAGCCCGCCCGUCCUCUGCAUCUGAAACUAUUAUUGGAAUGCCUCUGCGCACAGCACAUGCCUGCUUCCCAGAUUUCACAGGCCCCUGCUCAGGGAUCUGCAAACCACAUUGCUCAGCCCGAGAUUCCACGCGGGUGAUCACGAGGUGGUUUGCUCUAAGCUGGAACUUUUCUAAGAAAGUAGGUUUCUUUAAGCCAGGCAUUCUGCAUUCUUCAAAAAGCGUCAACCACAUGUCUCCAGCGAGCGCCUAGCAAUGUGCCUGCCUUAAUGGGUAAUGCAAAAUAAAUCGUUCUGGAGCUCUGAGAAGGACACAGUAAAAAGAAGAGCAAAAAUGAGCAUCUCAAAUAAGAGAUGUGGCAGGACAGAUCCUUAUGGGCCUGGAGAGUUAAACCCACAAAAAGAAAGGGAAGAAAGAGGCAGAAGAUCGGGAGGAGGACCAUGAGAAAGAACCAACAGAGGCAAACAACUUGAACAAAGAUGCAGAGGGAGAAUGUGUCGGACUUGUUUACAGGAACCUAAACACGGAACCAAAUUUGAAUUUUGAAGAUCCUUCUCUUUUUCUCUUGCUAGGAUGAUUAAUAGCCUCUAGUGUGAGAGAAUUUGUUGUUGUGAGGUGAUAAAACUGCUUUGAAUGCUAUAAGGUAUACAACUCUUGUCUCCCUUUUACAGAUGAGGAAACUGAGGCACAAAAAGGUGAAGUCCUGAGCUCACAGUCAUGCAACCAGCAGGUGGUGAAACACACCUCCAAGCUGCCUGCCUCCUAAGCAUCAAGCUUUGUGGCCCAGGAUCUACUUCAUGCUCCAAAUAUUCAUGGACCUUCCCAGGACCUCAACAAAACAAAACCAUGAAGAAAAACCUUGACAUGAACCCCAAAAAAACCCAGUCAGCAAUAUUUUAAGUUAAAUUUUGAAACAAAUCCAAACGGGUUCCUCCCCAUAAAUCUACCAGUAAAUUGUGCAGAAUCAGAACUGAAGCCAUGCCCUUUCUUAAAGUAUUGAAUUAGAAUAAAUGAGAACAUCUAAAUAUUUUCCAAAUUCAUAUUCCAGUUAUAAUAUUCAAGUUUCUUAGUUUCUCUCUGUUCACAUUCAACAUGAAAUAGUCCCAUUAGUCAGUAGCAAGAGCUGCAACAUUUCUACAGGUACUAAAGGAUGUGAUCAGAGCAGGGAAGAUGGCCAACAAGAUGAUGCCACUCUAGCGGGUGCCCAUCCAAAUCAUAACCCAUGAAUACUGCGGCUUUAUUAUCUUGGACAACAGAAAGCUGAUCUUGUAAUUGGAUGAUCACCCCUGCUUGCAUGCUUUCGAGUAGUUACGUAUGACAAAAGGAGCUACUGGUUUUGUGAUGAUGGGUUUCUGGGUAAACCCUAGAUGCAGAAGCAGCUUUUAAGCAUAGCAGAGCAAGAGUCAAAUGGUUCUGAAAAAAGUUUUAACUCUGAGAUGACUUCUCCCCGCUUCUUUCACUCUACCCUCUCAAUCCUAGAGCAAGUGAGCAGAGUAGGUAAAGCUGUUUCCUCCAGAAAGAUGAUCCAUAUUUUAAACAGCUCUGUGAAUGGGGCACUAAGACUCAGAAGAUCUGGUUUUCAGUUCGCAUUCUGCCUUUAACUGGUCUUGAAAGUUUGGGCAACUCAAUUAUCUCAUGGAGUCAGUAUUUGCAUCUGUACAGUGGGGAUAUGAAUACCUGUCUUACCUACACGGAGCUGUAAGAGCAACAGAAUGUGAGCUGGCAUGAUGUUAUUAUAUGUAUCACCUUGGUUAUUUUAAAACAUGCUUGAUGUAUUAGC
rnacentral:lncRNA from 1 species